rnacentral:piRNA from 1 species
CUAUUAAGACCCUGGAGGCAAAUGAGUUGU